GAACGCUGGCGGCGUGCCUAACACAUGCAAGUCGAACGGAGUUGAUCCUUCGGGGGUCAACUUAGUGGCGAACGGGUGAGUAACGCGUGAGAAACCUUGCCUUUCAGUGGGGGGACAACAGUUGGAAACGACUGCUAAUACCGCAUAAUGUCAUUUGGGGGCAUCCCUGGAUGACCAAAGAUUUAUUGCUGAAAGAUGGUCUCGCGUCUGAUUAGCUAGAUGCGGGGUAACGGCCCACCAUGGCGACGAUCAGUAGCCGGUCUGAGAGGAUGAACGGCCACAUUGGGACUGAGAUACGGCCCAGACUCCUACGGGAGGCAGCAGUGGGGAAUAUUGGGCAAUGGGGGAAACCCUGACCCAGCAACGCCGCGUGAAGGAAGAAGGCCUUCGGGUUGUAAACUUCUUUUACCAGGGACGAACACAAUGACGGUACCUGGAGAAAAAGCAACGGCUAACUACGUG
rnacentral:rRNA from 1 species